rnacentral:tRNA from 1 species
CCCUCCGUAGCUGAGAUGGUUUAGCUGAGGACUCUUAAUCCUUAGACGCAGGUUCGAGUCCUGCCGGGGGGAC